CACGUAGGCGGAUUUUUAAGUCAGGGGUGAAAUCCUGGAGCUCAACUCCAGAACUGCCUUUGAUACUGGGAAUCUCGAGUCCGGGAGAGGUGAGUGGAACUGCGAGUGUAGAGGUGAAAUUCGUAGAUAUUCGCAAGAACACCAGUGGCGAAGGCGGCUCACUGGCCCGGUACUGACGCUGAGGUGCGAAAGCGUGGGGAGCAAACA
rnacentral:rRNA from 1 species